CAAGUAAGCGAGUUCUAAACUAAUCUAUACAACUAAACAAACAAACGUCCCCUACCUAGGGUUCCCCUCUACACGUCAGGAGGUCUAGACGACCUAUUAAGGGUAACAGACACAACUCGUCGUAGGUCAGUAUACAUCCACAUCCUCCUCGGAAACGCGCCCCCACGGCCAGGGUUGCUACACCAGUUUAUCCCGACCUACGAUGUAAACUGUGACUCCCACGCUCUGACCCGUCCGACUCCUCCUAUGGUCUCUCGCCACUGGAACUCAACCUCCCUCGUUACUAGCAGCCAUAACUGUUGUACCAGUAAAGUAAACUAACCAACCGGACGACUGAACGAGCGAAGAGGAGGUCAGUACUCGAUCCGUGGAGCGCGGUUCCGUCCUCAAGAGAACGGGAGCAAGCUAGGAGAGGAUCGAUAGAUAAUACACAAACAAGGACUAAGCAAGCAAUAGGGUGUUGACCUAGCCCCCCGCCACUGUACAAGUAGCACGUGAACAAUAGUGGAACCGACGGACUGCCUCUACCUUCUCCUAAACAAUUCAAACAACAAGAAGUAACGACUAACCACCGACCACCACGACAAGACGACCCUUGUUGUGUCCUAGAUGCUAACAACGAGGAGAUCCAACCAAGUGGCGACGACCAGACACGUCUAGUAGUGACGUUCAUCAUGGGAUGACAGGUCGAGGUAAGCACGUAGAAUAGACAUCUACGAAUAAAUAAAUUAGUAGAGGACCUAAUAAACUGGUUGUCUAUCAAGUCAAAGGUGAAACUGCUUACUUACAUCUCAUAGAGCCUUUCUGCCAUUUCUGUAUAUACAUUGUGUAAAAUUCAACUGUUUAUCAGACCAAGAAGAUCGACAUUAAAAAACAACAAAAAGGUUCUAAUAACGACGUGUGAGUAGACAAAUUGAGAGUCAACCUACCGGAUUAAUACUAAAACAAAGAAACGUAAUACAUUAAGUCCAAGUACAUAUAACCUCCACCUCCUCGUGUUAUACUUUGUACCUGUAGGGACAGUGUAGGAAGGGUUCGCCC
rnacentral:rRNA from 1 species